rnacentral:rRNA from 1 species
ACGGAAGGCAGCAGUGGGGAAUAUUGCACAAUGGGCGCAAGCCUGAUGCGGCGAUGCCGCGUGAGGGAAGAAGGUUUUCGGAUUGUAAACCUCUGUCAACAGGGACGAAACAGACGGUACCUGUGAAGGAAGCUCCGGCUAACUACGUGCCAGCAGCCGCGGUAACACGUAGGGAGCAAGCGUUAUCCGGAAUUACUGGGUGUAAAGGGAGUGUAGGCGGGACUGUAAGUCAGAUGUGAAAUAUACCGGCUCAACUGGUAGACUGCAUUUGAAACUGCGGUUCUUGAGUGAAGUAGAGGUAAGCGGAAUUCCUAGUGUAGCGGUGAAAUGCGUAGAUAUUAGGAGGAACAUCAGUGGCGAAGGCGGCUUACUGGGCUUUAACUGACGCUGAGGCUCGAAAGCGUGGGGAGCAAACAGGAUUAGAUACCCUGGUA